GAAUUUUACUGACAAUUUGAUGACUGAGAAUCUGAGUGCUCACUGCUGCACUUUCUGUCAUGUGUAUAUUGCCUUUUCUCUGGGAAAAGUUAAUUUUGUUCACAUCUAUCAUGUAUCCAUCAGACUCAAGUCUUGUUUUUCUUAAUUACUAUAUCCUGACAAUUAUCUUUUAGUUUCCGUCCAAAGUAUUUUGCCAACUGGAGGAGUGUGGGUGUGACUCCCCGAUUUGUUGUUCAAUGACAUUUCCAAGGCAGCCAUGGGAAUUCAUAUUAUGCUUUUAACUAUACUAGAGAUUCACUUGAAAAUACUAGACCUCUGUUCAGGAGUGGCUGUGCAUAGAGUAAUGGCUGAGUGUUGAUGUCUGUGGCCUCUUGCAUAUCUGGUGCCUCCCAGCACCUGACGAUGCUCCCCGCCAUGCCUGUGUUUCAGCGAGCCCACAGCCUCAGUGCCCCCCGAGUCGGACGUGUACCGGAUGCUCCACGACAAUCGGAAUGAGCCCACACAGCCUCGCCAGUCGGGCUCCUUCAGAGUGCUCCAGGGAAUGGUGGACGAUGGCUCUGAUGACCGUCCGGCUGGAACGCGGAGUGUGAGAGCUCCGGUGACGAAAGUCCACGGCGGUUCAGGCGGCGCACAGAGGAUGCCGCUCUGUGACAAAUGUGGGAGUGGCAUAGUCGGUGCUGUGGUGAAGGCGCGGGAUAAGUACCGGCACCCUGAGUGCUUCGUGUGUGCUGACUGCAACCUCAACCUCAAGCAAAAGGGCUACUUCUUCAUAGAAGGGGAGCUGUACUGCGAAACCCACGCAAGAGCCCGCACGAAGCCCCCAGAGGGCUAUGACACGGUCACUCUGUAUCCCAAAGCUUAAGUGUCUGCAGGCGCGGCAUGCACGCACGCACCCA
rnacentral:sRNA from 1 species